rnacentral:rRNA from 1 species
AUUGAACGCUGGCGGCAGGCCUAACACAUGCAAGUCGAACGAGUGGCGGACGGGUGAGUAAUGUCUGGGAAACUGCCUGAUGGAGGGGGAUAACGACUGGAAACGGUAGCUAAUACCGCAUACACGCAGAUGUGCCCAGAUGGGCUUAGCUUGGUGGUGGGGUAACGGCUCACACAGGCGACGAUCCCUAGCUGGUCUGAGAGGAUGACCAGCCACCCUGGAACUGAGCCAGUGUCCAGACUCCUACGGGAGGCAGCAGUGGGGAAUAUUGCACAAUGGGCGCAAGCCUGAUGCAGCCAUGCCGCGUGUAUGAAGAAGGCCUUCGGGUUGUAAAGUACUUUCAGCGGGGAGACGUUACCCGCAGAAGAAGCACCGGCUAACUCCGUGCCAGCAGCCGCGGUAAUAC